rnacentral:lncRNA from 1 species
CUGGGAGUCCAGAUUUUCAAGGACAUAGGAAUAUCCCACAAUUAUUUGUUUUCUUCAACUGCCUUACAAAUGCAGCAGUCUCAGAAUAACAGCACUAAUAAACCACCACCGUUAUGAUAGCUGGAACAAUUAAAAAUGUUUUUCAUUUGUUCUCCUCAAUCUCCUAGUUUUUAAAGUUGUACUACUAGUGAUUUCAACUCCUAAGGAUAAAACAUUAUUUUAUUAUAGUUAGUUUCUUUAUUGUAAUUAUUUAUAAACUUCUUUGUUCCUUAUGUAUAAAUGUAGUCAUAGUCAUGUUCCCCUAAAUUUUCUGUGGUAAAUUUUCCAUUACUUCC